UGGAAAGAUCAUUGUCGAGAACCGAUCGAGAGACUGCGAACCUGUAAACGGAUGACACCGUGUCGGGCGGGCAUUAUGCCCGUCCUACUCGGGACCUCGCAUCGUGUCCGCGGCUGCCUCCUGGCAUUUCGGACACGAUUUGUGGGGGACGAACGAAACCCCGGCGCGGUCUGCGCCAAGGAACAUAUGUCAGGACGGAUGUGCGUCAAAUCCUCUGUGGUGGGGCGACGUCCGCUCUAUAUCUAUACGACUCUCGGCAACGGAUAUCUCGGCUCUCGCAUCGAUGAAAAACGUAGCGAAAUGCGAUACUUGGUGUGAAUUGCAGAAUCCCGUGAACCAUCGAGUCUUUGAACGCAAGUUGCGCCCGAGGCCUUUCGGUUGAGGGCACGCCUGCCUGGGCGUCACGCCUUGUUUCGCUCUGUGCCCAUGCUCCUUCGGGGGCGGUCAUGGAUGCGGAUAUUGGCCCUCCGUGCCUCGUGUGCGGCGGGCUUAAGCGCGGGCUGUCGGUGUCUGGAUGGACACGACAAGAGGUGGACAGAGCACCAGCAGGAUGUCGUGGUCCCCCGUCGCCUAUAGGGGCUCACAAGAUCCGAACAAGUCUAGCGUUGUUCUGUAUAAGAAGGGGCGAGCUUGUCUCUCAUUGCGACCCCCCCGUUCAGGCGGGGACACCCCGCUGAGUUUUAGCUCAUAUAACCGGGGGAAGAGAAAA
rnacentral:rRNA from 1 species